GGGGGUAUAGCUCAGUGGUAGAGCGAGCGCUUAGCAGGCACAAUGUCCUAGGUUCAAUCCCCAGUAUCUCUG
rnacentral:tRNA from 1 species